UAGGGAAUAUUGCACAAUGGGCGAAAGCCUGAUGCAGCAACGCCGCGUGCGCGAUGAAGGCCUUCGGGUCGUAAAGCGCUUUUCGGGGAGAUGAGGAAGGACAGUAUCCCCGGAAUAAGGCUCGGCUAACUACGUGCCAGCAGCCGCGGUAAAACGUAGGAGCCUAGCGUUAUCCGAAUUUACUGGGCGUAAAGCGCGUGCAGGCGGUUCGGUAAGUUGGGUGUGAAAUCUCCUGGCUCAACUAGGAGAGGUCGCUCAAUACUGUCGAACUGGAGGAUGGUAGAGGGAGGUGGAAUUCCCGGUGUAGUGGUGAAAUGCGUAGAUAUCGGGAGGAAUACCAGUGGCGAAGGCGGCCUCCUGGGCCAUACCUGACGCUCAGACGCGAAAGCUAGGGGAGCAAACGGGAUUAGAAACCCCGGUAGUCCUAGCAGUAAACGAUGUGGACUUGACGUUGGUGGGGUAAAAUCCAUCAGUGCCGGAGCUAACGCGGUAAGUCCACCGCCUGGGGACUACGGCCGCAAGGUUA
rnacentral:rRNA from 1 species